rnacentral:rRNA from 1 species
AUUAAAAACCAAUGCCCUUCGGGGCUCUCUGGUGAUUCAUAAUAACUUCUCGAAUCGCACGGCCUUGCGCCGGCGAUGGUUCAUUCAAAUUUCUGCCCUAUCAACUUUCGACGGCUGGGUCUUGGCCAGCCGUGGUGACAACGGGUAACGGAGGGUUAGGGCUCGACCCCGGAGAAGGAGCCUGAGAAACGGCUACUACAUCCAAGGAAGGCAGCAGGCGCGCAAAUUACCCAAUCCCGACACGGGGAGGUAGUGACAAUAAAUACUGAUACAGGGCUCUUUCGGGUCUUGUAAUUGGAAUGAGUACAAUUUAAAUCCCUUAACGAGGAACAAUUGGAGGGCAAGUCUGGUGCCAGCAGCCGCGGUAAUUCCAGCUCCAAUAGCGUAUAUUAAAGUUGUUGAGGUUAAAAAGCUCGUAGUUGAACCUUGGGCCUAGCCGGCCGGUCCGCCUCACCGCGUGCACUGGCUCGGCUGGGUCUUUCCUUCUGGAGAACCGCAUGCCCUUCACUGG